rnacentral:rRNA from 1 species
UACGGGGGGAGCAAGCGUUGUUCGGAUUUACUGGGCGUAAAGGGCGCGUAGGCGGCCACUGCAAGUCACUUGUGAAAUCUCCGGGCUUAACCCGUGAGCGGCCAAGUGAUACUGCAGGGCUUGAGUGUGGAAGGGGCGACUGGAAUUCUUGGUGUAGCGGUGAAAUGCGUAGAUAUCAAGAGGAACACCUGAGGCGAAGGCGGGUCGCUGGGCCAACACUGACGCUGAGGCGCGAAAGCUAGGGGAGCGAACGGG